GGGCCCGCACAAGCGGUGGAGCAUGUGGUUUAAUUCGAUGCUACGCGAAAAACCUUACCUACCCUUGACAUACUCGGAACCUUCUAGCAAUAGUUGGGUGCCUUCGGGAACCGAGAUACAGGUGUUGCAUGGCUGUCGUCAGCUCGUGUCGUGAGAUGUUGGGUUAAGUCCCGUAACGAGCGCAACCCUCGUCCUUAGUUGCCAGCACGUAAUGGUGGGGACUCUAAGGAGACUGCCGGUGAUAAAUCGGAGGAAGGUGGGGAUGAGGUCAAGUCAUCAUGGCCCUUAUGGGUAGGGCUACACACGUGCUACAAUGGGCAGUACAAAGGGAUGCGAUGUCGCGAGGCUGAGCAAAUCCCAAAAAGCUGCUCCCAGUCCGGAUUGGAGUCUGCAACUCGACUCCAUGAAGUCGGAAUC
rnacentral:rRNA from 1 species